GAUGAACGCUGGCGGCGUGCCUAAUACAUGCAAGUCGAGCGAACGGACGAGAAGCUUGCUUCUCUGAUGUUAGCGGCGGACGGGUGAGUAACACGUGGAUAACCUACCUAUAAGACUGGGAUAACUUCGAGAAACCGGAGCUAAUACCGGAUAAUAUUUUGAACCGCAUGGUUCAAAAGUGAAAGACGGUCUUGCUGUCACUUAUAGAUGGAUCCGCGCUGCAUUAGCUAGUUGGUAAGGUAACGGCUUACCAAGGCAACGAUGCAUAGCCGACCUGAGAGGGUGAUCGGCCACACUGGAACUGAGACACGGUCCAGACUCCUACGGGAGGCAGCAGUAGGGAAUCUUCCGCAAUGGGCGAAAGCCUGACGGAGCAACGCCGCGUGAGUGAUGAAGGUCUUCGGAUCGUAAAACUCUGUUAUUAGGGAAGAACAUAUGUGUAAGUAACUGUGCACAUCUUGACGGUACCUAAUCAGAAAGCCACGGCUAACUACGUGCCAGCAGCCGCGGUAAUACGUAGGUGGCAAGCGUUAUCCGGAAUUAUUGGGCGUAAAGCGCGCGUAGGCGGUUUUUUAAGUCUGAUGUGAAAGCCCACGGCUCAACCGUGGAGGGUCAUUGGAAACUGGAAAACUUGAGUGCAGAAGAGGAAAGUGGAAUUCCAUGUGUAGCGGUGAAAUGCGCAGAGAUGUGGAGGAACACCAGUGGCGAAGGCGACUUUCUGGUCUGUAACUGACGCUGAUGUGCGAAAGCGUGGGGAUCAAACAGGAUUAGAUACCCUGGUAGUCCACGCCGUAAACGAUGAGUGCUAAGUGUUAGGGGGUUUCCGCCCCUUAGUGCUGCAGCUAACGCAUUAAGCACUCCGCCUGGGGAGUACGACCGCAAGGUUGAAACUCAAAGGAAUUGACGGGGGCCCGCACAAGCGGUGGAGCAUGUGGUUUAAUUCGAAGCAACGCGAAGAACCUUACCAAAUCUUGACAUCCUUUGACAACUCUAGAGAUAGAGCCUUCCCCUUCGGGGGACAAAGUGACAGGUGGUGCAUGGUUGUCGUCAGCUCGUGUCGUGAGAUGUUGGGUUAAGUCCCGCAACGAGCGCAACCCUUAAGCUUAGUUGCCAUCAUUAAGUUGGGCACUCUAAGUUGACUGCCGGUGACAAACCGGAGGAAGGUGGGGAUGACGUCAAAUCAUCAUGCCCCUUAUGAUUUGGGCUACACACGUGCUACAAUGGACAAUACAAAGGGCAGCGAAACCGCGAGGUCAAGCAAAUCCCAUAAAGUUGUUCUCAGUUCGGAUUGUAGUCUGCAACUCGACUAUAUGAAGCUGGAAUCGCUAGUAAUCGUAGAUCAGCAUGCUACGGUGAAUACGUUCCCGGGUCU
rnacentral:rRNA from 1 species